rnacentral:lncRNA from 1 species
AAUGCCAUGCAUAGAAGUUUAUGAAAAGUAUGAAUUGAAAUGCCAAGCAUAGAAGUUUAUGAAAAACAUGAAUUGAUAUAUGAUGCAUACAUGUUGCAUGGUGCUGUGGAGGUACAGGUAAGUCAGGUGAGUUCAUUUAUUCAUUUAAUUGAUUGAUGUUGAGAUGUUUUGAGCUCAUAACUUGCACCCUAGGUGUUAGUGCUUAUAUUAUUUACCACACCGCACGCUUGCCUUGGAUCCAAGUAGGUGGAUGUCGUACAGACCAUGUGAGGGUUCCGACAUGCUAGUCGUAUAGAUCACUAGGCGUGAUUCCGACUAGUGGGUGACCUUAGUUAUGCGCGUUGAUGAUUGAUGAGAGAAGCACUAGAGCGUAUUUAUACACCUUUCAUCGUACAGACUACCUUACGUAGUUCCGAGUGAUGUGCAGAGUAGGGCCGUAUAGGUCACUGUGGUGACUCCGGCUGAGUGAGAUAUUGAGCUAUUGAAUUAAUCGUAUAGGACCAACUGCAGGAUCUCCGAUUGAUUCCUUAUUUCACCUGAUUUAUAUUUUGAUUCAUGGCAUGGCAUGUUUUUCUUGAAAAAUGUUAAAGACUUGGGAUUUGAGUUUUGAGAUUUUAUAUGGUUUUAUAUAUACUAUUUUCUGGGAAAGUAUACAGGUUUUACAGCGAGGGGUUAAAAAUGUUUUAAAUGAAAGAUUUUCGAAAAGCUUUGUUUUACUGACCCACUCAAUUUUGUUUUUCGCCCCUCCAGGUUCAAGCUAGCAGAGCUUUGGUGGCCACGAGGAAGCCAACGGUGUUCUGACAGAAUUCACAAAAGUAUGACUCACCCUCGGGGGUUUCCAUUUAGUAAUUGUAUUUUAAGAGCUUCCGAACUGUGUAAAUGGUUACGUCACUUUCACGUGACGACCAGCACGCCCUCAUUCGGGACGGGGUGUGUCAGUUGGUAUCAGAGCCUAGGUUGCAGUUCUGGACAUCUUGAGAAAUUCCUAGUGUCUUCUGUCAGAACGAUACCGCCUCGUAGUGAGCCACGUAGUUCGUAUGAACCUAAUUUCCCUGAUAUAGUAGUUGGGGGGGAAUUAUUGCCAUUAUGAUUCAGUCUAUUAUCUAAAGGAACCUUUGAGACUGGUUAUAAGUUAAAUUUGAAUCCCUCUAGGGAUAUGAAGGACCUAAGGGAGCAGAUUGAUGGCUUAAUCAUUUGGGAAAGGCGUUUCGGAUUAUGCAAAGUUAAGGGAAUCUUCAUCCCGACAGGUGGGUCAAGAUGACUACCUAGUUUUUGAGUGUUGAAUCUGCAUUCUGAUGGAGAUAGGAAUGUUAUCCGAUGAUAUCGGAAGGACAACUGUUUAGAAGUUGUUUAAAUAAUUGUUUAAGAAAAGUUCAUUCCUCCGGCAUAUUGUGAUGGUAGUAAGCAAGAAUUUGCAAAUGUGAGACAAGGAAAAUGACGACAGAUGAAUAUUAUAGAAAGUUUACAUACUUGCCUUGUUUCCAUUCGGAUGUUGUUGAGAAUUGAGGACUCUGAGAGUAUGAUCAGCGAGAGUAAAGAAGAAUAAGAAAAGAAUGAUAAUUAGAGGAAAGAUGAUAAAGUUAAAGAUCCGUCAUAUCAAGGACAUCGAAAGACUCAGAGUUUCAAAAGAAGUGAAGUUAGAACUAAUUCUUCCAGCUUAGGUUUUAAUGCCACUGGUCAGAGGCGAAGUGAUAGAUUUACUGGUGAUCCCAGAUCUUAAAGACAAGGUGACUCGAGUAAGGGAAAUGUACCUUUGUGCCAUAGGUACAAUGUUAGACACUUUGGAGAGUGUGGGAUUCAGUGAAUGUGUUCAUGUGGACAGAUGGGACAUAGAGUUAUGAAUGGUCCCUAGAAUCAGCUGUUACCCAGCAGGUUUAUGAACUUAAUAGUUUGGUCAGAUGGGUCGUGAGUGCAGGGAUAUUUGAUGAGUUAUAAGUCCAGCCGUACAGGCCACAAGAGGUGGAUUCGGCGGACAUAUUAUUUGGAAAUUUGAUGAGUGAGUUGUACAGGUCAUUCUAGCUGACUUCGGCUGAUAUAUUUCUUAUUAUGGAUGAUGUUGCCAAAGAGAGUAAUGUUUGAGCAUGAUCGAGGCGUAUAGAUGUAUUUCUAAUGAAGAGCAAGAUGAUAAUAUUACACCUUCAGGAAUUGUUACUUACUUAUCGAGACAACAGUGAGUUAUUUGUAUUGCGGGCUGCAGACCGUAAUAUUUAUAACUUCUUUGUUGGAUUCGUUAAGCAAGUAAACAUGUAGGGCACUCUAUGUUGAUUUGGUUUAUUCAGGGUGUCCAGUGAUGGUGGAAGAAGUAGUUAUGCCAGUGAAUCUUAUCCUGUUAGGCAUUGUGGAUUUCGAUGUGAUUUUAAGCACAGAUUGGCUAGGUUAUAAUCAUGCCAAUAUGGAUUAUCAAAGGUUACCUUUGUGAUUGAGCAAAGUGGAUUGAGUUAGGUCGUGAUUUAUGCUGUGAGAACAAAGAGAUUGUUAUCGAAAGGCUGCCAAGGAUACUUAGCUCGUGUGGUGCUAAAUGAUGUUGCUUCUAAUAGUUUGGGAGAUGUAAAGGUGAUUAGACAUUUUCUUGAUGUUUUCACUGAGGAAUUACCUGGAUUGCCGUCAGGCGGAGAUAUGGAGUUCCCUAUUAAUUUGUCUCCAUGCACAAAUUUUAUUUUAAAGUUUGGUUCAUGAUGAGUUAAGGGAAUUGAAAAUUUGGUUGCAGGAAUUGGUUGACAAAGGUAUCAUUUAAAGUACAUCACGUUGGGGGGAGCACCAAUUUAUUGGCGAGGAAGAAAUUGGACAUUUAGGCUAUGUUUUAAUUAUAAGUAAUUGAAUCGGGUAAUGAUCAAGAAUCGUUAUCCAUUGUUGCGUAUUGAUGAUUUAUUUAUCAACUUAGAGGUCUGCGUAUUUCCUGAGAUUGACUUAAGGUCUGGUUGUUACCGAUUGAAGAGUUAAUGAUAACGUUCCUAAGAUUGUGUUCAUGACUCGUUACGGUCAUUAUGAGUUUUAGUGAUGUUAUUCGGAUUGAUGGAUUCUCUUGCUGUUUUAUGAGUUUGAUGAAUGAAGUAUUCCAGGAAUGCCUUGACAGGUUUGUUAUUGUUUUCAUUAAUGGUAUUUUGGUAUACUCUAAGCCUAGAGCAGAGCAUGUUAGAUAUUUUAAGUUGGUGUUGCAAAGAUUGAGAGAACGUCGAUGGUAUGCUAAGUUUAGCAAAUGUCAAGGUUGAAUGGAUUAAGUAACAUUUCUGAGAUAAGUAUAUUGCUAAAGGUAUUCAAGUGAAUUCUUAAAAGGUAGCAGAAAUUGAGAAUGUGGAACAACCACGAUCUGUGAUUGAGAUUCGAAGUUUUCUUAGUUUGGCAGACUAUCAUGGACGGUUCGUGAAAGAUUUUCCAGUCAUUGCUUUUCCAUUGACGAGAUUGACAAGAAUAGAGGUUAUGUUUGAGUGGGAUGAUAAUUGUGCGCAAAGGUUUCAACAGUUGAAGUAUUUCCUCACUCAUCCACGUAAUUUAACGCUCCCAGAAGAUAGCGAUAAUUAUGAGGUCCUUAGUGAUGCUUCUUUGAUUGGUUUUGGAUGAGUGUAAUGUAGUAAGGUAGAGAGAUUGCCUAUGCUUCACGACAAUUGAAGCUUCAUGAAAUGAAUUACUCUACUCACGAUUUGGAGUUAGCAGCUAUCAUCUUUACUUGGAAGUUUUGGAGACAUUACUUUUAUAAUGAAAAGUGUAAGAUUUUACGAAUCAAAGGAGUCUCCAAUGUCUAUUUACUCGGAGGUAUCCUAAUCUUAGGCAACGAAAGUAGAUUGAGUUACUAAAUAAUUAUGAUUGCACGAUCAGGGUGAUCGUGAAAUUGUUGCGACUGAGGCACUUGGUAGGAAGCCUCUAGUAAGAAUUGAUGCUUUGUAUAUUUGUUGUGUUUCCUCUUCUUGCGGAUUUGAGACCACUGGAGUGAAGCUUAAGGUAAAAGUUAAGAAGAAGUUUUAUUGGCUAAAUUUUUAGGUUAGACCAAUUUUAGUUGAUUGUAUACUUGAUGCCCAGAAAUUUGACGAAGGAAUUCAAGAAUUAACCGAGGCAGAAUUGGACGGUAUGUUUAUGCAAGAGAUUGGGACGUAUGUGCCAAAUUAUGUGGAAUUAAAGAAAGCAAUUUUGACCAUGUACACUGUUAAGUUUUUUGGUAUGUUGGUUACUUCUAAGUUUUGGAUAGCGUACAGGAAGCUUGGUUACCAAGAUACCUUAUAGUACAACUUAUCGCCCUCAGAUAGAUGGUUAAUCAGAGAGCACUAUCCAGACUUUGGAGAAUAUGCUGAGAUCUUCAGUAUUGCAGUUGGCGACGUUUAGAUUAAGCGGUUGGAUUUGAGGGGAAUUGCCUACAUCUAUAGCAUUUGUUCGAGCAUGGGUAUGAAACCAUUUGAGGCACAUUUUGGUAAAGAUUGUAGUACACCUUUGUGUUGGACAUAAGUUGUCAAAAGUGUUCUUGCGGGCCCCGAGGUUAUGGAUGAGUCUACUUGGAAUGUUCGAGUGAUUAAUUUUAACUUGGAAAACGGCCCAAGAUCGCCAGAAAAGGUUAACAGACAGACAUGCCACUGAUCGAGUGUACAAGGUAAGUGAUUGGGUAUUUAUGAAGUUAUCACCGUGGCGAGGUGUUGUUCGAUUUGGAAAGAAAGGUAAGUUGAGUCCUAGGUACACCGGACCUUAUCAGAUUACCGAGCGAGUCGGUGAAGAUGUUUACAGACUUGAAUUGCCGUCAGAGCUGUCCAGUGUACAUAAUGUGUUUCACGUUUCGGUGCUUCGACAUUAUGUUACAAAUCCGUCGCAUGUGAUCCCCCUGCAACCCUUAGAGUUAACCCAGAGUUGUGUUACAAAGAGGAGCCGGUGACGAUACUUGAUUGGAGAGAUAAGGUGCUCAGGAACAAGACAGUGCGUUUCGUGAAUGUCUUAUGGAGAAAUCACUCAGCAGAAGAAGCUACUUGGGAGACUGAGGACACGAUGAGAGAGAUGUAUCCGAGGUUGUUUUAUGGAUACUAGUGUUGUAUUGUGAUAUGAAAUUUCGGGACGAAAUUUUCAUAAGGAGGGUAGAUUGUGACAGCCCGUCCCAGACUUUUCAUGUCGAUAACGUGAAUUGACAGAUUUACCCUUGAACGAUGAGUACGUAUUUGCAUGUGAAGCUAAGCUUGGGUCCAAUUACAUAAUUUCCUAUUCUUUUAGGGCCAAUGAGGAACUAAGAAGAUAUUGUUUUUGAUUGGUGGCUUUUGACCACACACACCAACCAACAUCAUCUCUCUCUCUCCUCUCACUCCCGUAUCUCUCCCUCUCUUGGACUCUCCCUCUCUCUCUUCGUAUUUCGUACGGCAAAAUACCAAAACCCUUUUAAACUCAGCAGAUCGAAGAUUUGGAACUCACUUUUGGACUCUUGAGACUCAUACGAAGAGAUUGAUACCAUUUUCAGGUAUGGGAAGCUUCGAAAACUUUGUGAAACCCUAGUAUCCGAUUGUGCACUGUUCAUGAAAUUUUUCAUGGUUGAUUUUUAGGGGAUUUUAAGCUUGUAGGAAGCUUAGUGGGGUCCUUACAAGGCUCGGAGUGCUUCGUUUGAAGGUUUUGGACGUCGGGAUAGUGAGAUCGAAGUUUGGCCGGUUUUUCUUGGAUUUUGCCGGUGAGAUAUCGUGACGUUUAGAACUUUAAAUUAGUAUAAUUGUGUUCUUUAAGUUAAGAGCUUCAUUUUGGUGUAAAUGGCAUGAAAAAUGGGGUCGAAUCGAGUGAGAAAUCGAAGUAAGACUUUUUCCCAGUUUUCCGGCAACGGCGACGGUCGCCGGAGUCCCAAGGUUGAAGACGACGGAAUAUUCCGUCAAGUCUGACAUAAUAUUCCAACAUCGUCAGUUAUAUUUAACGGUAUCAGUUGGAAGUUGACGGAAUAUUCCUGACGGCGUUAACUGACGCCGUCAGUGUGCAGUGCACGUGGCCGCGCGUGGGGGCGCGUCUGGCCGUGCGUGUGUCGGCUCGUGGGGGCGCGUGAACAGUCCAAAAAUUACUUUAAAAAUAUCACGAUGUUCGUGAGGUUGAGUAGGUCACUGUGGUAUAUUCUUAUACCCAAAUUGAGCACCGUAUGAGAAAGUUAUUAAGAAUUGUUGGUUAGAUGAUUUAAAUAACGUUUUAUAGUUUUCGCAUUUAGGUGAAAAUGUGAAUUGACGAUCCGACCGUUGGAUCGUCACCAAACUUUGAUGCGUUGUAAUACGUAAUAUUCAAGGAUUAUAGGAACUUACGGAUUGGGAAUCCGAUUUACGGAUCUUCCGGAAUUGGGAUUGUAAGUUCAUAAAAUAAAAUGUUAACCGUCACUUAGUUUUGGAAAUUGACGGAGAUCCGACCGUUGGAUGGUGAUGAAAUUUUAGGAAGUUGUCCUAGAGGUAUAUUGUGAACCUCUGGAAGUUAUAGAUUGGAAAUCUGAGUUGCAGAUCUUUCGGAUCGAACGACGUAGUGACGUAUUUUAUAUAAGUUAUAUAUUCUAUCGAUAUGAAUUCUGAGGUUGGAUUUGAUUAUUGUUUUAGGCGCCGAUCGUCAAGACGCCUUGGCGUUUUGUGCUAAGGAGUUGUAGGGCGAACUCCAGGUGAGUGGGCAGUUUUGUUUUCGUAUUACCUAUAUGCUAUUGUUUUCCCAGAAAAUGCAUUUAUAUGAGAAAAGUAUGAAUUGAAAUGCCAUGCAUAGAAGUUUAUGAAAAGUAUGAAUUGAAAUGCCAAGCAUAGAAGUUUAUGAAAAACAUGAAUUGAUAUAUGAUGCAUACAUGUUGCACGGUGCUGUGGAGGCACAGGUAAGUCAGGUGAGUUCAUUUAUUCAUUUAAUUGAUUGAUGUUGAGAUGUUUUGAGCUCAUAACCUGCACCCUAGGUGUUAGUGCUUAUAUUAUUCACCACACCGCACGCUCGCCUUGGAUCCAAGUAGGUGGAUGUCGUACAGACCAUGUGAGGGUUCCGACAUGCUAGUCGUAUAGAUCACUAGGCGUGAUUCCGACUAGUGGGUGACCUUAGUUAUGCGCGCUGAUGAUUGAUGAGAGAAGCACUAGAGCGUAUUUAUACACCUUUCAUCGUACAUACUACCUUACGUAGUUCCGAGUGAUGUGCAGAGUAGGGCCGUAUAGGUCACUGUGGUGACUCCGGCUGAGUGAGAUAUUGAGCUAUUGAAUUAAUCGUAUAGGACCAACUGCAGGGUCUCCGAUUGAUUCCUUAUUUCACCUGAUUUAUAUUUUGAUUCAUGG